rnacentral:rRNA from 12 species
UUUAGCGGGUACUGAGUUUCUGAUCCCUUCCGAUCUAAGUAGGGCCAGGCCUGGUUAGUACUUGGAUGGGAGACCACCUUGGAAGACCAGGGGCAGCUAGAC